AACGCGAAGAACCUUACCUGGUCUUGACAUGCAUCUUGUCGUCUGUGAAAGCAGGCUAGGGUAGCAAUACCCGAUUUGCACAGGUGCUGCAUGGCUGUCGUCAGCUCGUGUCGUGAGAUGCUGGGUUAAGUCCCGCAACGAGCGCAACCCCUGUGAUUUGUUGCCACCCGGUUUACCGGCGCACUCGAAUCAGACUGCCUCGAUCAACGAGGAGGAAGGUGGGGAUGACGUCAAGUCCGUAUGGCCCUUACGACCAGGGCUGCACACGUACUACAAUGCUCAGCACAAUGUGACCCGAUACCGCGAGGUGGAGGCAAUCCUCAAAACUGAGCUCAGUUCAGAUUGGAGUCUGCAACUCGACUCCAUGAAGUUGGAAUCGCUAGUAAUGGUGCAUCAGCUACGGCACCGUGAAUACGUUCCCGGGUCUUGUACACACCG
rnacentral:rRNA from 1 species